GGGCGAUUAGCUCAGUUGGCUAGAGCGCAGCGUUGACAUCGCUGAGGUCGAAGGUUCAAGUCCUUCAUCGCCCACCA
rnacentral:tRNA from 2 species